CUCUCCAAACUCUCACUUCAGCCAAGCUUCCGCUGUCAACUCCAUCUCUGCCACUGCCGUUGCCUCGCGUCCUCACCAUCGCCACUCUCUUCAAGUCCGGCUCUGGCCCCGGCCCAGGCUUCGCACUCGCAUUCUCUCCCACUAAAGGUUUUAAUCCAAGCUUUCAGUUUUGAAAUUAGGUUCGCUGGAGACUAACCCACUCGCUGGAGACUAACCCACUCAUUUCUGGUUUUGGCUUGGCUUGCCAUCUAGGUGUUUUGGCUGACCUCCCUACAAUUGGGAUUGGAAAGAAUAAUCUCCCUCAUGAUGCAUACAAGCUACUUGCGGUCCCAUAACCUAUUGGUGGUGUUCUUGUGAUUGGUGCAAAUUCUAUUCAUUAUCAUAGUCAAGUAUUAUUUUGUUGCAUAAUAGCUACUUUCUACUUCAUUAUUAUCACCAACAUGAUCAUCAUCAUUGUACUUAUCCCCCCAAAAAAAUCAUCAUUCUUGUUAUUGCCAUUAAGAUUAGCAUUAUUGCUGUUAUAAUAUUUUUUGGUUGUUGAGCCAACAUGUUCAAGCUGUAUGCUUCUUUUCCCUUUUCAUUACUAAGCUUUUAUUUGGACUAUGUAGUUUUGCUAAAGGGUAUAAUUUUAAUUUGCUUUCUGGUUGAUGGCUUCAGAUGCUCGUUGAUGAUAUUGGAGACAUGACAAUUACUAAUGAUGGUGCUACAAUAUUGAAGUUGCUAUAAUUUUUUGAUGGCUUUUUGUGUACAAAGAACUACAUUUGAACAACAGCAUUUUUUGGAAAUGUUGAAGGAUUUAUUUAAA